GAGGGUAUAGCUCAGUGGUAGAGCAUAUGCCUGGUAUGCACGAGGUCCUGGGUUCGAUCCCCAGUCCCUCCU
rnacentral:tRNA from 1 species